UACGUAGGGGGCUAGCGUUGUCCGGAAUCAUUGGGCGUAAAGAGCGUGUAGGCGGCCAGGUAGGUGGGUUGUGAAAACUGGAGGCUCAACCUUCAGACGUCGACCCAAACCCCCUGGCUAGAGUCCGGAAGAGGAGAGUGGAAUUCCUGGUGUAGCGGUGAAAUGCGCAGAUAUCAGGAGGAACACCGGUGGCGAAGGCGGCACUCUGGGCCGGUACUGACGCUGGAGGAGCGAAAGCGUGGGGAGCGAACAGG
rnacentral:rRNA from 1 species